rnacentral:rRNA from 1 species
UACGUAGGGUGCAAGCGUUGUUCGGAUUCAUUGGGCGUAAAGGGUGCGUAGGCGGCUUCCUAAGUUUGAUGUGAAAUCCUGGGGCUCAACCCUGGAACUGCAUUGAAUACUGGGAGGCUAGAGUACUGGAGAGGAAACUGGAAUUUACGGUGUAGCAGUGAAAUGCGUAGAGAUCGUAAGGAAGACCAGUGGCGAAGGCGAGUUUCUGGACAGUUACUGACGCUGAGGCACGAAGGCCAGGGGAGCAAACGGG